UAAUAAGUGUUUUAUGGCACUUUUUAAAUCCAUAUCCACCUUGUGUGCAAUGUCAGUCGAUCUUCUUCAUGGAGAUCGACCAAACAUCAACCUUUAUCUUUUAACCCUUCUGUCUGAAAAAUAUUAUGAAUAAACAAUUCAAAAUUA
rnacentral:misc_RNA from 1 species